ACGAACGCUGGCGGCGUGCCUAAUACAUGCAAGUAGAACGCUGAAGAGAGGAGCUUGCUCUUCUUGGAUGAGUUGCGAACGGGUGAGUAACGCGUAGGUAACCUGCCUUGUAGCGGGGGAUAACUAUUGGAAACGAUAGCUAAUACCGCAUAACAAUGGAUGACACAUGUCAUUUAUUUGAAAGGGGCAAUUGCUCCACUACAAGAUGGACCUGCGUUGUAUUAGCUAGUAGGUGAGGUAAUGGCUCACCUAGGCGACGAUACAUAGCCGACCUGAGAGGGUGAUCGGCCACACUGGGACUGAGACACGGCCCAGACUCCUACGGGAGGCAGCAGUAGGGAAUCUUCGGCAAUGGGGGCAACCCUGACCGAGCAACGCCGCGUGAGUGAAGAAGGUUUUCGGAUCGUAAAGCUCUGUUGUAAGUCAAGAACGGGUGUGAGAGUGGAAAGUUCACACUGUGACGGUAGCUUACCAGAAAGGGACGGCUAACUACGUGCCAGCAGCCGCGGUAAUACGUAGGUCCCGAGCGUUGUCCGGAUUUAUUGGGCGUAAAGCGAGCGCAGGCGGUUUGAUAAGUCUGAAGUUAAAGGCUGUGGCUCAACCAUAGUUCGCUUUGGAAACUGUCAAACUUGAGUGCAGAAGGGGAGAGUGGAAUUCCAUGUGUAGCGGUGAAAUGCGUAGAUAUAUGGAGGAACACCGGUGGCGAAAGCGGCUCUCUGGUCUGUAACUGACGCUGAGGCUCGAAAGCGUGGGGAGCGAACAGGAUUAGAUACCCUGGUAGUCCACGCCGUAAACGAUGAGUGCUAGGUGUUGGAUCCUUUCCGGGAUUCAGUGCCGCAGCUAACGCAUUAAGCACUCCGCCUGGGGAGUACGACCGCAAGGUUGAAACUCAAAGGAAUUGACGGGGGCCCGCACAAGCGGUGGAGCAUGUGGUUUAAUUCGAAGCAACGCGAAGAACCUUACCAAGUCUUGACAUCCCUUGACGAUGCUGGAAACAGUAUUUCUCUUCGGAGCAAGGAGACAGGUGGUGCAUGGUUGUCGUCAGCUCGUGUCGUGAGAUGUUGGGUUAAGUCCCGCAACGAGCGCAACCCCUAUUGUUAGUUGCCAUCAUUCAGUUGGGCACUCUAGCGAGACUGCCGGUAAUAAACCGGAGGAAGGUGGGGAUGACGUCAAAUCAUCAUGCCCCUUAUGACCUGGGCUACACACGUGCUACAAUGGUUGGUACAACGAGUUGCGAGUCGGUGACGGCGAGCUAAUCUCUUAAAGCCAAUCUCAGUUCGGAUUGUAGGCUGCAACUCGCCUACAUGAAGUCGGAAUCGCUAGUAAUCGCGGAUCAGCACGCCGCGGUGAAUACGUUCCCGGGCCUUGUACACACCGCCCGUCACACCACGAGAGUUUGUAACACCCGAAGUCGGUGAGGUAACCUUUUGGAGCCAGCCGCCUAAGGUGGGACAGAUGAUUGGGGUG
rnacentral:rRNA from 1 species